rnacentral:rRNA from 1 species
AAGAAAAUGACGGUACCUGACUAAGAAGCCCCGGCUAACUACGUGCCAGCAGCCGCGGUAAUACAUAUAUGCAGCAGUAGGGAAUUUCGUCAAUGGGCGCAAGCCUGAACGAGCAAUGCCGCGUGAACGAGGAAGGUCUUCGGAUCGUAAAGUUCUGUUGAAAGGGGAAAAAGAGCGGAGAGAGGAAAUGCUUUCNGAUUGAUAUUACCCUUCGAGGAAGUCACGGCUAACUACGUGCC